rnacentral:misc_RNA from 1 species
GAUGAAGAAGGCAGCGAAAUGCGAUACGUAGUGUGAAUUGCAGAAUUCAGUGAAUCAUCGAAUCUUUGAACGCACAUUGCACCUCUCGGUAUUCCGGGAGGUAUGCCUGUUCGAGCGUCAUUUGUACCCUCAAGCUCUGCUUGGUGUUGGGUGUUUGUUCCGCCUCUGUGUGUGAACUCGCCUCAAAACAAUUGGCAGCCGGCGUACUUGUUUCGGAGCGCAGCACAUUUUGCGAUCCAGAUCAACGUACAGCGGCAUCCAAGAAGCCUUAUUUAACGCUCUUGACCUCGGAUCAGGUAGGGAUACCCGCUGAACUUAAGCAUAUCAAUAAGCGGAGGA